AUUGAACGCUGGCGGCAUGCUUUACACAUGCAAGUCGAACGGCAGCGCGGGCUUCGGCUUGGCGGCGCGUGGCGCAAGGGUGAGUAAUGCAUCGGAAUGUGCUCAGUAGUGGGGGAUAGUACGGCGAAAGCCGGAUUAAUACUGCAUACGACCUGAGGGUGAAAGCGGGGGACCGAAAGGCCUCGCGCUAUUGGAGCGGCCGAUGUCGGAUUAGCUAGUUGGUGGGGUGAAGGGUUACCAAGGCGACGAUCCGUAGCUGGUCUGAGAGGACGACCAGCCACACUAGGGCUGAAACGCGGCCCAGGCGCCUGCGGUAGGCAGCAGUGGGGAAUUGUGGACAAUAGUGGCAAACCUGGUCCAGCCGUGCCGCGUGCGGGGAGGAGGCCUUCGGGUUGUAAACCGCUUUUGUUCGGGAAGAAAUCCUCUGGGCUAAUACCCCGGGGGGAUGACGGUACCGGAAGAAUAAGCACCGGCUAACUACGUG
rnacentral:rRNA from 1 species